GUAAUUCUCUGGUUGGGUUUAGUACUUUAUCAAUAAGUAUAUUGCUACUGUUCCCAAAAUGCUUAGAUUAGUGAAGUAUUUUUAUGCUUUUAAAAUAAAAAAUAGAUUUUAUAUGUAUUGACAAACUCCUAAUGUUUCUGUCUGGCUUGUGAUUUAAAUGCUAUUUUAUUCUUAUUUACAGAAGAUUUCUCUUUAACCAGGAGCCAUGUCGACUCCCAGAGGACAGCAGUCUCUGAUGAGGUUGGAGAGAACUCCACUGCGGGAGCUACAGAACGAAAAUCAGCAGCAGCAGAAAAUACAGAGCGUUAAAACUCUGAUUCAGCAGGAGAAGAACACAGAUCAGACUGAGGGUCAGGAUAACCUCAACCAACAAUCAACCUCAACAAAUGAUGAAAACGAAGCCAAGGAAGAUCUGAGAUCUUCGAGUUAUCUCCUUACACACGACUCUGUGGAAGUGCAGUCUGAAAUCUGUCCACUUCCAGCAGAAAACGAAGGAAUUCCAGACUCUCAGUCGCUGGAGAAACUGGGAGAAACUGAGCUGAACGCUCAUGUUAGCAUGUCUAUUGAACAUUUUGUGGUUGAAUCUGGAAGCUCUGAGGUCCAGAACUUGUUGGCCCAAAGUUCUGAGUCAUCGUUCUCUAAACUUAAAGCUGGCACUGAUGCCCAAAGCGAAAACUCUUCUCCACGACACGCUCAAGAGACAUGCAACCAGCAGUCAUCCUCCUCUCCUAGUGAAGAAAACCGUGUGCCGACCCGAAACAACGAAUCGUCUCAACCGCAAACUUCUGUUCCCACGGCUAAUGAAGGUUUUGGGCCAGAAUCUGCAAACACCAGUGCCCAAAAUGAGCCUGCCCAAAACUUUGAAUUAUCUCGUUCCCAAGUUGCUGUUGGAACAGCUACUCAGGAUUUUGGGCCUGAAUUGGGAAGGACCAGUGCCCGAAACACUGAAUCAUCAUCAUCAUCAUCAUCGUACGUGAAUCAUGAGAGUUUUGGGCCUGAAUCUGGAAAAAUUUUGGCCCAAAAUACCAAACUAUCUCAUUCCCAAGCUGAUGUUGCAAUAGCUACAGAGAACUGUGUGCAAGAACCGGCAAAUACCAGUGCGCAAAAUGUUCCGGCCCAAAACUCUGAAUCCUUUAAAGUCCUGAGCGCUGAGCUGAGUUUGCAGGUCCCUCAGGCUGCUGUGGAGCUGGAGGCCAGCGGGGUUCGGGACAGUGCUCUGGGUCUGAGUGGAGUCCACUCUGGUUCUGAAGUGCUUCGGGCCGAGAGUGUUCAGGAGUGUCUCUGUGAUGCUGUUCCUCUACACAGUCAGCUGUGGAGCGCUCUGACCCUGCAAGACCCGUCAACUCCCAGAAACAAAGCUCUCAACAGCAGCGCCCUGCAGGUAAGAGCUGAGGAUAAGAACUCAGAUCUAUAUCAGAAUUU
rnacentral:lncRNA from 1 species